GCUUCUCUUCGUCCCCUGGCCGCGCAGCUGCCUUCCGCGUGCUUCCCCACCGCUGAGGACACACUGACCCAAUUCGGCCAAAAUCAAGCACGUCAGCCUCCCAUGGACAUGGACUUGAUCUUGUUUUGUGCUGUGUCUCCAAUGCCAGGCGCCAGGGAGAUGGUUAAUAAAGGGGACAUGGCUUCGAUCCCUGGUCCGGGAAGAUCCCACAUGCCGCGGAGCAACUAAGCCCAUGCACCACAACUACUGAGCCUGCGCUCUAGAGCCCGAGAGCCACAACUACUGAGCCCGCGCACCACAGCUACUGAAACCCACGCGCCUAGAGCCUGUGCUCCGCAACAGGAGAAGCCACCGCAAUGAGAAGCCCGCGCACCACGACGAAGAGUAACCCCCGCUCGCCGCAACUAGAGAAAGCCCGCGCGCAGCAAUGAAGACCCAAUGCAGCCAAAAAUAAAUAAAUAAACAAACAAACAAAUAAUUUAUAUAUCUAUAAAUGACUAAACGAUUGGAAAUGCAGGAAGAAAUUG